CGGCUGGAAAUGGCGGUGUGCGGUGGUGGUAUACCUGUUGCAUUUGGGAUUUCACUGAGAGAAUAAGAAGGAAUCGACGAUGGACUGCUACGCAACUAUUGCACCACUGAAGGAUGUCUGUGUGCCGGUUUGUGCUCAGUUUCUCAGCCAGCGGGCCUGAGAAAGUGUGCCACAGCAGUCUGUCUAGUGGUGCUCUUUGUUCUGGAAGGACGCAAGCAUUGCUGAGGAGCCAUUUGACCUGCCGCCACACUAAUAUUGUAUUUGGCAAAGCCGAAGGCCUCUGCAAGCAGCCAGUCAUUCCAAGUCUCAACCAAUCCUUCCUCCAGUCAGCCAAUUUCUAGUGUCUAUGCGGAAAGGACUUGCGCAAAACUGGACACGGGACACUAAAAAGGCGAC